UACGGGGGGGGCAAGCGUUGUUCGGAAUUACUGGGCGUAAAGGGCUCGUAGGCGGCCAACUAAGUCAGACGUGAAAUCCCUCGGCUUAACCGGGGAACUGCGUCUGAUACUGGAUGGCUUGAAUUCGGGAGAGGGAUGCGGAAUUCCAGGUGUAGCGGUGAAAGUGCGUAGAUAUCUGGAGGAACACCGGUGGCGAAGGCGGCAUCCUGGACCAACACUGACGCUGAGUGAGCGAAAGCCAGGGGAGCAAACGGG
rnacentral:rRNA from 1 species